rnacentral:rRNA from 1 species
ACAGAGGAUCGCUNCACCACGUAUCGAAUUGCGCAAUUUAAUGUGAAUUNCAGAAUUCAGUGAAUCAUCGAAUCUUUGAACGCAUAUUGCA